rnacentral:rRNA from 1 species
UACGUAGGGUGCGAGCGUUAAUCGGAAUUACUGGGCGUAAAGCGUGCGUAGGCGGGUUUUUAAGUCAGGGGUGAAAUCCUGGAGCUCAACUCCAGAACUGCCUUUGAUACUGAAGAUCUUGAGUCCGGGAGAGGUGAGUGGAACUGCGAGUGUAGAGGUGAAAUUCGUAGAUAUUCGCAAGAACACCAGUGGCGAAGGCGGCUCACUGGCCCGGUACUGACGCUGAGGCACGAAAGCGUGGGGAGCAAACAGG